GACGAAGGUGGCAACCGUUGUUCGGAAUCACUGGGCAUAAAGAGCACGUAGGCGGCGACACAAGUCGGGUGUGAAAUCCCUCGGCCUAACCGAGGGACUGCGCCCGAAACUAGGUUGCUUGAGGACAGGAGGGGAGCGUGGAAUUCCUGGUGGAGCGGUGAAAUGCGUUGAUAUCAGGAGGAACACCGGCGGCGAAGGCGACGCUCUGGCCUGUUUCUGACGCUGAGGUGCGAAAGCUGGGGGAGCAAACAGG
rnacentral:misc_RNA from 1 species